rnacentral:rRNA from 1 species
GGAGUCUGGGCCGUGUCUCAGUCCCAAUGUGGCCGUCCGCCCUCUCAGGCCGGCUACCGAUCGUCGCUUUGGUGGGCUUUUACCCCGCCAACUGGCUAAUCGGACGCGGACCCAUCCCAUACCGAUAUCUCUUUUCACACUAGGAGAUGUCUCCCCGUGCGCUUAUGCGGUAUUAUCAGUCGUUUCCGGCUGUUAUUCCCCACUGAAGGGCAGGUUCCUCACGCGUUACUCACCCGUCCGCCACUAAGCUUCAAAGAAAGCAAGCUUCCUUUUGGCUUCGUUCGACUUGCAUGUGUUAAGCACGCCGCCAGCGUUCAUC